rnacentral:rRNA from 1 species
UACGUAGGGUGCAAGCGUUGUCCGGAAUUAUUGGGCGUAAAGAGCUCGUAGGUGGCUUGUCGCGUCUGCCGUGAAAGCCCAUGGCUUAACUGUGGGUCUGCGGUGGAUACGGGCAGGCUGGAGGCGGGUAGGGGCAAGCGGAAUUCCUGGUGUAGCGGUGAAAUGCGCAGAUAUCAGGAGGAACACCGGUGGCGAAGGCGGCUUGCUGGGCCAGUUCUGACGCUGAGGAGCGAAAGCGUGGGGAGCGAACAGG